CCGAGAGCCACCAGCACCGCAUCCCAGCUGCAGGGGGUGACGCUGCUGCCAUCCGCCUGCAGCUGGCAGAGAAGGAGCAGGUGCUGCUCCUGGCGCAGGAGACGAUCCAGAUCCUGCAGAUGAAAGUGCGAAGGCUGGAGCAGCUGCUGCGCCUCAAGGACAUGAGGAUCGACGACCUGAGCCGCUGCCUGCAGCAAGCCCGGCACCAGCAGCACUGAGCAGCCCGCCUUUGUCACCCACCGUCCUGACACGGAGCUGCGUGCUCAGUGCCUCCCGGCCCCCCCGUGAGGAGCACAGAGGCGGCGCGGGGCCCCGCAGCGGCUGCUCCGUAAUCCCCUCCCCAAGCUGUUGUUUAUAAUCUCCGAGGAAAUCCCAGCCUGCGUGCCGUGGCUCUGGCAGCGGAACACUGCGGGGUGCUGUGCACCCCCCCCACCCUCACCAUGGCCCGGAGCCGCCGCUGAGCCCCGCCGUCAUCCCAAAACUGAGUGAGCGCGGCAGAGCCAUGGCUGCAGCCAA